rnacentral:rRNA from 1 species
AUUGAACGCUGGCGGCAUGCCUUACACAUGCAAGUCGAACGGUAACAGGUCUUCGGAUGCUGACGAGUGGCGAACGGGUGAGUAAUACAUCGGAACGUGCCUAGUAGUGGGGGAUAACUACUCGAAAGAGUGGCUAAUACCGCAUGAGAUCUACGGAUGAAAGCAGGGGAUCGCAAGACCUUGUGCUACUAGAGCGGCCGAUGGCAGAUUAGGUAGUUGGUGGGAUAAAAGCUUACCAAGCCGACGAUCUGUAGCUGGUCUGAGAGGACGAUCCGCCACACUGGGACUGAGAAACGGCCCAGACUCCUACGGGAGGCAGCAGUGGGGAAUUUUGGACAAUGGGCGAAAGCCUGAUCCAGCAAUGCCGCGUGCAGGAUGAAGGCCUUCGGGUUGUAAACUGCUUUUGUACGGAACGAAAAGCCCUGGGUUAAUACCCUGGGGUCAUGACGGUACCGUAAGAAUAAGCACCGGCUAACUACGUGCCAGCCGCCGCAGUAACAC